CAGCAAAUUAAUAAAUACUACAACUCUAUGAAUUAAGUUCUGGUCAAAAGUAAAAUCCAUUAAUUUUUACUGUCAUGUUUAUUCAAAGCUAAAUCCAAAUUCCUUCACAAGUUAUGCGGACGAGUCAUUGUUUUUCAUUUUUUGGUUGUGGUACACAGUGAAGCCGGAGAUUUAAGUCUCGUCCUGCACGUCUAUCUAUGAUGCUGAAAAUCGAUCUAUGAAGAUGUCUCGUUUAUCCAGCUUGCUGCAAGAACUGUCUAAUCAUUUUCCUUGUGGUCUCUGCUUCUUCUUGGUGCAAAGUUUCCAAAAUGUGAGCAACCUUUUAUCCAAUAUUCCAUAUAUGAGAGGAUUUACAGAAU